CAGUAGCCGCGGUAAUACGGAGGGGGCUAGCGUUGUUCGGAAUUACUGGGCGUAAAGCGCACGUAGGCGGCUUGGUAAGUUAGAGGUGAAAGCCCGGAGCUCAACUCCGGAACUGCCUUUAAGACUGCCGAGCUAGUAGGUGAGAGAGGUAAGUGGAAUUCCGAGUGUAGAGGUGAAAUUCGUAGAUAUUCGGAAGAACACCAGUGGCGAAGGCGGCUUACUGGCUCAUUCUAGACGCUGAGGUGCGAAAGCGUGGGGAGCAAACAGGAUUAGAUACCCGCGUAGUCCCUGUCUCUUAUAU
rnacentral:rRNA from 1 species